rnacentral:rRNA from 1 species
AACCUACGGGACGCAGCAGUGGGGAAUCUUGCACAAUGGGCGAAAGCCUGAUGCAGCAACGCCGCGUGAGCGAAGAAGGCCUUUGGGUCGUAAAGCUCUGUCCUAAGGGAAGAAGGAAGUGACGGUACCUUAGGAGGAAGCCCCGGCUAACUACGUGCCAACAGCCGCGGUAAUACGUAGGGGGCAAGCGUUAUCCGGAAUUAUUGGGCGUAAAGAGUACGUAGGCGGCUCUUUAAGCGCAGGGUUUAAGGCGAUAGCUUAACUAUCGUUCGCCCUGUGAACUGGGGGACUUGAGUAUCGGAGAG